rnacentral:misc_RNA from 1 species
UGAUGAAGAAGCUGCUUUAAAUAAGUGUAGCACUGCAGUGUUCCAUGUUGGUAAAAUUAGGGAAGAAAUGGAAAAUGGUUCAACUCUAGGAAAUCAGCAAGGUUCCACAUUUGUGGAUGAGUUACAAGCGCAAGAAAAUGUCCUCCAGCAGUGUGUUGGGAAGCUUGAAAGUGCUGAAGCAAACAGAACCAUGCUGAUUUCCCAGCUUACAGAAGCACUUGAGGACCAAGAAUCAAAGCUGGAUGUUAUUCGUGCUCAGUUACAAGUUGCUCGGGGCCAAAUUGAGCAAGCAGU